CUCCCCCACAAUCUCUCCUGUAUCUUGCAUUCAAGAAUCUUAAGAUUUAAUUCAGCGAUCUUAGUUGGAAUUCAUAUAGGCAUUGGUUUUGUACAGCUGUCUGCCUUCCUCCUGCUGGGUAGGAACCUGAGCUCAGUACAGCCCGAGAGGCACACACGGGCGCACAGAGGCGUUAGGAUGCUGCCUACCGGAACUCAAGCGGAGAACUUUCUGCUCCUCACACAUCUUGGCACUACAGUAACAAUCAGACAGCCUUGCUGCUUCAUCUCAAACUGUUUCUCCUACUGACCUGAUUUCUGGGCUGCUUGAGAAACCAGCAGUUCUUAGAUCUUGAGAAGUGUCUGAUGCAGAUGGCUUUUGGUAGGUCAGUACCAUAACCGACCAUAAACACCUGGUGCAGGAAAUCAAGAGGUACAUGGAGGGACUUCAGCCGCACAUGUAGCAGAGGAUGACCUUGUCAGCUGGUGGAGCUGUUUGGAGAAGUUGUGGAAGUGCAAAUGUGGCCUGGCUUCGGGAAAGGAGUGCCUGGUGGACACAAAUCUUGAGCUUUACCGCUGGCUCCAUGUAUCUUCCUGCUUUUGCUUCCUCCUCGUCUUCAGAGAGCUGUGAGCUGAGUUUGCGCAAGCUGGCUCACAAACCUGCUGCCAAACCACAAGCUAUUCCCUCUGCCCUGCCUGCCCCUCAGGACAGACUGUUCUCUCAGGUGGGAGCCAAUAUAAACCCUUGUCCCACUAUGUCGUUUUCUCUGGUAGUUGGUUACAGCAUAAUGAAAAGUAAAAUCUAAACAUUAA